GCCCUAGCCACCCGGAAGACCCUCCAGGAAGAGAUAUUCUCCCGAGUUCCAGCCUCCCUCUUACUAACCACCAGAGGGCAGGCAAACAAAGAAGGAUGAAUUCACUCACAAGCAGGCCUUGCCACGGAGCCUGAGGGCACUCGAGAAACCUGAAAAGAAUUAUCAAGACCCGAGGCAAAAAGGAUCGUGAGAGCCUAAGAGAGUGGCAGCAUGGAACCCCGGCCUCUCCUAGACCUCGGCAGCCAUGUGCUUCUGGGCUGGGACAGUCUUGGGCUGAAAGGAGGCUUGCACAAUCAUGACAACAACUUGCAAACCAGCAUCACUGCAGGGGAGCUGUACUCUUCUCUUGAGCUUGCUGUUCGCAGUCAACUGAGACUGAAGUUCACCUUUCCCGGGAGUGGCUGGUGGAAGGCAGCACCAUGGGUGGCAGGUUAAAAAGCCUCAGAAGGGAGUGUUUCCUUUCCACUGCCAGUGUCAGGUCCAGUGGAGUGACAUAUGCCUUUCACUGUAUCCCAAGAAGGAGGAAGAACUAUAAAAAGCCUUCAGAGGCUCCCGAGGAAACUUGAGGGCAGUAAAAGCGAAGACUACAAACUAAAGAAAAAUACACACAGCUGUGAGAAUGAAGCUCGCAUGCGGCAAUCCAGUCUCCAAGCGGAUGCACUGAAGAGGUGGUGCCUUGGGAGGAGCCCCAUUCUGCCCUCGUGAAUGAAUUAGGGCCCUUCGAAGAAGGCCCCGAGAGUGACCUCUCACCAUGUAGGGUGCACAGAGAGAGGUGCUGCUCUACGACCGGGAACGGAGUCUCACCAGACACCAACUCUCUUAGCACCG
rnacentral:lncRNA from 1 species